UAGGGCGAGUGUAAGAACUGAGAUGGUGGCGUUUGUAUAAUUCUGUGCUCACCGGAGUUGGAAAGGCAGCUAAAGGAUAACUCCACUAACGAAAGUUCAAGAAACUCGCAGGUUUAUAUGCUGUGU
rnacentral:lncRNA from 1 species